CCACAAUCUGGUGAUGGGGUACCACCACGAACCGCCGAAGCCGUUCCGCUUUGCGCUGAUGACUCCUACGUUUAC
rnacentral:ncRNA from 2 species